AGGACUUUAUACAUGUAGCAUAAUAGACAAAAGUGGCCUAAACAGCAUUACAUGGAAUUUAACUGUGUCUGAGAGUCCCAAAGAAUCCACUUCAUCAAAGACUUUUCUAUACAUACUCCCACCUGCAAUUGGAUUCCUUCUAUGUGGCACCAUGCUAGCCAUCUGCUUCUGUAGAAAAGUUACAAUGAGGACACCAAAUCUGGAUCCAGUCAAAAAUAGUCCUCAGUCAGGAGAAGAGGCAGCUCUCCCUCAACCACAAG